GACACCUGAACAAGACGAGAAGGAGAAGUUUGUGUCUUAUCUGAUGGAGGGGAAAAUCAUUCUCCUUUGCCUUAUGGUGAUUGUGCAACUAGGCAUAGGCAACCCCAUUCACGUUGAUGAUUGCGUGAACGUAAUUGCCUUUACAGCCGCUGAAUGCUCAGCAUUAGAUUGCCGAAGAUCAUGCCGGAAUUCCUGGGCAGAACACGUCUAUAGAGCUUAUUGUAGGGUUGGUGAAACUCAGCAAUAUUGUUACUGCUUUAUUUGUGAUUAAAAGUGAUUGUUGCUGGUACCCAUCACGUCAAUCAAUGGCCGGCGAUGAGAUUCAAUAAUAAAAUAUUCUUGUGACAUGCA